GACGAACGCUGGCGGCGUGCCUAAUACAUGCAAGUAGAACGCACAGUUUCUACCGUAGCUUGCUACACCAUAGACUGUGAGUUGCGAACGGGUGAGUAACGCGUAGGUAACCUGCCUGGUAGCGGGGGAUAACUAUUGGAAACGAUAGCUAAUACCGCAUAAUAUUGAUUAUUGCAUGAUAAUUGAUUGCAAGAUGGUAUUGAAUCACUACUCGAUGGCCCUUCGUUGUGUUAGCUAGUAGGGGAGGUAACGGCUCACCUAGGCGACGAUAGAUAGACGACCUGAGAUGGUGGGUGGCCGCACUGGGACUGAGACACGGCCCAUACGCCUUCGGGAGGCAGCAGUAGGGAAACUGCAGCAAUGGGCGAGAGUCUUUCCGAGCUACGCCGCGGGAGUGAAGAAGGUUGUCAGGUCGGAAAGCUCUGUUUUAAGAGAAGAACGGGUGUGAGAGUGUAAAGUGCACUCUGUGACGGUAACUGACCAGAAAGCAACGGCUAACUACGUG
rnacentral:rRNA from 1 species